AUCAUGAACCCUGGUUGAUGUAAUCAGUGAGAUUAUGAUGUCAUGAUGUAAUUAUGAUGUUAUAGUGUGUGAUGUCAUUAUGAACCCUGUGAAACUACCGGUAUACCGACCGUGUGUUGUUAUAUGGGAGAGCAUGAUGUCAUGAUGGUUCUAUACCAGUCAUAUAUGUAAUUGUGUGUUAUUCCGUUUCCUUUUAUACUGUGAUGAUUGCCUUUUGUUGUGUAGGCACAACACACCCCAGUAGUUCAGCAGGCAUGCUUGCUAUAUCUGUACCUCAACCAUAUUGUUCGUUAUAAUGUGUAUAUAAAUAUAUAAUUACAGUGUCCUUCAACCUGGGCAGUGUUUAAAAGAUUGGGUAAAUCAACAGGUCACAGAAUUUGGUAGAUCAACACAUACAGGUAUGAGUGAAUCAAGCACAAGAGAGAUCUAGAAAAUUUUUUGGAAAGAUUUAAAAUAAGUUACAUGGUACCCUGCCUGAUUGGUUUAAACUCGCCCUGGUUUAAGGACACUGUCUCGGUGCAGCCAACGAAACUAUGUUAGCAUAUGAGCUGGCUUCCUGUCUUAAUGGCCUUUUAUUUGUAAGUUGGUAGAAAUACUUAUUUUAAUUGUAACAAUCUUGUCGUUUACUUUUGAGCCGAGCUUGUAUGUUAAUUAUGACAUGCGUGUGCCAGUGUGUACGACAGAUGUGUACGACAGGUGUGUACGACAGGUGUGAGUGUGUGUUAGCCAGGUGUGACAGUACUAGUUUUAUACAUGUGGUGUGUGCAAGGUUCUUGGUAUGGUGUCAGAAAGUGUCUCGCUUGGUAUGUGUGUUGUCGUUUGACGGCUAAGAUUACAUAAAUGUACAUGCAGAUAUAUGUGCAUUACCAAAUAUAGAGAUUUGUUUUUGCAAUAUGUAUGUGUAAUUCUGUGCUGUGCUUAUUGUGUGGGGGAACUAAGGUUUUAUCCGAUCCUCUAAUAAAUGUCAUUAAACCGGUGGGAUGUUUUUCCUCAGCUGGUAAAAAAAAAUCAUCAUUUAUUGGCUGUUAAAAUACGUUUAUGUUCAGAUUUGUUCACUUUGUACAAGGAUAGAAAAUUCAAUGAUAACACAAUUAAAAAAAUAUAUCGGGAGAUCGACAAGAAAUAAAAGGGUGACCUGAUCUUUGUGUAGAGGUAAUAUGGUAGUAUCGGAGUCCCCCACACAGUAACGGCGGUAUUUUAUGGUGGACUGUGAGUCGACCAUCGGUCUAGCUUGUAUACAGAAGCUUACUAUAAAAUUUGUUAAUUUUGUAUGGACUGACCAAUGCCAUAAGUAUGUACAUGAAUGUAUAAUUAUUUUAUACCAAUAUUAUAAACAACUGUUUUAUUAGGAUAUUUUUGAGUUGUACAUGGUCGAUUUAUCAGUUAAUUUUCAAUAAGUCAAAUAUUGUAUUCAAUUCACUCAUUAUUAAUAAGUGUGCAUGAAAUAGACGUAAGCUAAAACUAUUAAACCUUCUUAAAAAUC